rnacentral:tRNA from 1 species
AACAAUCGCCGGUUGAACGGAAAUCAUUGAUGUUGAUUAAUAAAAGAUUUAUUCUUAUUGUUU